AAGUCGUAACAAGGUUUCCGUAGGUGAACCUGCGGAAGGAUCAUUAUUGAAUUUUAAUGAAGGGAAUUUGGUUGUAGCUGGCUCAUAUUAUCUGGGCAUGUGCACACCUUUCUCUUUCAUCCACACACACCUGUGCACCUGUGAGGCAGAUGGGGGAGGAAAUUCACUGAUUGUUCUUGAAGAAUAAUAGGUGUUGGGAACCCCCCCUCUGUCUACUCAAUCUAUAUAAACCCAAUAUUUUUAAAAAUGAAUGUAAUGGAUGUAACACAUCUAAUACUAAGUUUCAACAACGGAUCUCUUGGCUCUC
rnacentral:misc_RNA from 1 species